GUGCUCACUUAGGCAGCACACAUGCUAAAGUUGGAACGACACGGAGAAGAUUAGCACGGCCCCUGCGCAAGGAUGACACACAGUCAUGACGCUCUCUGUGUGUUU